rnacentral:rRNA from 1 species
UGGAAGUAAACAAUCGUAACAAGGUUUCCGUAGGUGAACCUGCGGAAGGAUCAUUAACAUUAAUUUACUACACACUGUUUUUUUACAACAAAACAAAUCUAUCUAAAAACAAUUCUUUACAAGAAAUUCUUAAAACUUUCAACAACGGAUCUCUUGGUUCUCGCAUCGAUGAAGAACGCAGCGAAAUGCGAUACGUAAUACGAAUCGCAGCUCUCGGAAUCAUCGAAUCUUUGAACGCACAUUGCACCAUUGGGUAUUCCCAAUGGUAUGCUUGUUUGAGCGAAUACUUCCCUAAUCCUCACGGAUUGUAUUGUGUUUGCACGAAAAUAAUGACGACAGUACUCUACAAAACGGUACCGUCAGUACACUCAUUUUUUUUCCUCAAAUCAAGUAGGACUACCCGCUGAACUUAAGCAUAUCAUAAGGCGGAGGA